rnacentral:rRNA from 1 species
UACGGAGGGUGCAAACGUUGCUCGGAAUUAUUGGGCGUAAAGCGCACGUAGGCGGUCCAGCAAGUCGGGUGUGAAAGCCCUCGGCUUAACCGAGGAAGUGCAUUCGAAACUACUGGACUUGAAUACUGGAGAGGAUUGCGGAAUUCCCGGUGUAGAGGUGAAAUUCGUAGAUAUCGGGAGGAACACCAGUGGCGAAGGCGGCAAUCUGGACAGAUAUUGACGCUGAGGUGCGAAAGUGUGGGGAUCAAACAGG